AGCCCAUAAUUGUUUAUGGUAAAUUGACCCGUGACUCCUUCAUGGAAACUGUGGAAGAACAUAAAGUUCAUGCUGCGAAGCAUCACGGCUUCCAAA